rnacentral:rRNA from 1 species
AUUGAACGCUGGCGGCAUGCCUUACACAUGCAAGUCGAACGGCAGCACGGGUGCUUGCACCUGGUGGCGAGUGGCGAACGGGUGAGUAAUAUAUCGGAACGUACCUUAUCGUGGGGGAUAACGCAGCGAAAGCUGCGCUAAUACCGCAUACGCCCUGAGGGGGAAAGCGGGGGACCGUAAGGCCUCGCGCGAUUAGAGCGGCCGAUAUCUGAUUAGCUUGUUGGUGGGUAAAGCCACCAAGGCGACGAUCAGUAGCUGGUCUGAGAGGACGACCAGCCACACUGGGACUGAGACACGGCCCAGACUCCUACGGGAGGCAGCAGUGGGGAAUUUUGGACAAUGGGCGCAAGCCUGAUCCAGCAAUGCCGCGUGCAGGAAGAAGGCCUUCGGGUUGUAAACUGCUUUGUCAGGAGAAACACCGGCGUCUAACACAGUCCGGGAAUGACGGUACCUGAAGAAUAAGCACCGGCGUAACUACGUGCCAGCA